rnacentral:rRNA from 1 species
AGUGAACGCUGGCGGUAGGCCUAACACAUGCAAGUCGAACGGCAGCACAGUAAGAGCUUGCUCUUACGGGUGGCGAGUGGCGGACGGGUGAGGAAUACAUCGGAAUCUACUUUUUCGUGGGGGAUAACGUAGGGAAACUUACGCUAAUACCGCAUACGACCUACGGGUGAAAGCAGGGGAUCUUCGGACCUUGCGCGAUUGAAUGAGCCGAUGUCGGAUUAGCUAGUUGGUGGGGUAAAGGCCCACCAAGGCGACGAUGCGUAGCUGGUCUGAGAGGAUGAUGAGCCACACUAGAGCUGAUAAGCGGUCCAGACUCCUACUGGAGGCAGCAGUGGUGAAUAUUGGACCAUGGGCGGAGGCCUGAUCCUGCCGUGCCGCGUGGGUGAAGAUGGCCUUCGGGUUGUAGAGCCCUUUUGUUGGGAGAGAAGCGCAGCAGGUUAAUAUCUCGCUGUUUUGACGGUACCCAAAGAAUAAGCACCGGCUAACUUCGUG